GGCUUGGUAGCGGAUGGUCUACAUCUGCUUUUCAUUCAAAAGAUGUAUACAUAUGUGUGAAAAUGGGUAAUGCAGACAAAGCCUGUUCGAACCAGGUCCGAGCCA